UACGUAGGGUGCGAGCGUUAAUCGGAAUUAUUGGGCGUAAAGGGCGCGUAGGCGGCCUGGCAAGUGGAAGGUGAAAUCCCUCGGCUUAACCGAGGAACUGCCCUCCAAACUGCUUGGCUUGAGUCCGGGAGAGGUGAGUGGAAUUCCCAGUGUAGCGGUGAAAUGCGUAGAUAUUGGGAGGAACACCAGUGGCGAAGGCGGCUCACUGGACCGGAACUGACGCUGAGGCGCGAAAGCGUGGGGAGCAAACGGG
rnacentral:rRNA from 1 species